rnacentral:rRNA from 1 species
UACAGAGGGGGCGAGCGUUGUUCGGAAUUACUGGGCGUAAAGGGCGCGUAGGCGGCCUGUUAAGUCGGACGUGAAAUCCCCGGGCUCAACCCGGGAACUGCGUCCGAGACUGGCAGGCUUGAAUGCGGGAGAGGGAUGCGGAAUUCCAGGUGUAGCGGUGAAAUGCGUAGAUAUCUGGAGGAAUACCGGUGGCGAAGGCGGCACCCUGGACCGAGACUGACGCUGAUGCGCGAAAGCCAGGGGAGCAAACGGG